rnacentral:tRNA from 1 species
UCCUAUGUGGACUUGUUAUUAGGACUCCUGGCUUUCACCCACGCGGCCCGGGUUCGAUUCCCGGCAUGGGAA